rnacentral:rRNA from 1 species
CCUACGGGAGGCAGCAGUGAGGAAUAUUGGUCAAUGGACGAGAGUCUGAACCAGCCAAGUAGCGUGAAGGAUGACUGCCCUAUGGGUUGUAAACUUCUUUUAUAUGGGAAUAAAAUGUUCCACGUGUGGGAUUUUGUAUGUACCAUAUGAAUAAGGAUCGGCUAACUCCGUGCCAGCAGCCGCGGUAAUACGGAGGAUCCGAGCGUUAUCCGGAUUUAUUGGGUUUAAAGGGAGCGUAGGUGGAUGGUUAAGUCAGUUGUGAAAGUUUGCGGCUCAACCGUAAAAUUGCAGUUGAAACUGGCAGUCUUGAGUACAGUAGAGGUGGGCGGAAUUCGUGGUGUAGCGGUGAAAUGCUUAGAUAUCACGAAGAACUCCGAUUGAGAAGGCAGUUCACUGGACUGCAACUGACACUGAGGCUCGAAAGUGUGGGUAUCAAACAGGAUUAGAUACCCUUGUAGUC